rnacentral:tRNA from 1 species
UCCAGGGUAACCUAGUGGACAUGGCAUCUGCCCGGUAAGCGGAACACUGUGGGUUCGAUUCCCAUCCCUGGAC